GAAAUCUUAGGUAAAUCCGGGGUUUCAAGGCCGAGAGCUGAUGACGAGUCGUCUUUUAGAUGACGAAGUGGUUGAUGCCAUGCUUCCAAGAAAAGCUUCUAAGCUUCAGGUAACCAGGAACCGUACCCCAAACCGACACAGGUGGUCGGGUAGAGAAUACCAAGGCGCUUGAGAGAACUCGGGUGAAGGAACUAGGCAAAAUGGCACCGUAACUUCGGGAGAAGGUGCGCCGGCUAGGGUGAAGGAUUUACUCCGUAAGCUCUGGCUGGUCGAAGAUACCAGGCCGCUGCGACUGUUUAUUAAAAACACAGCACUCUGCAAACACGAAAGUGGACGUAUAGGGUGUGACGCCUGCCCGGUGCCGGAAGGUUAAUUGAUGGGGUUAGCGCAAGCGAAGCUCUUGAUCGAAGCCCCGGUAAACGGCGGCCGUAACAAUAACGGUCCUAAGGUAGCGAAAUUCCUUGUCGGGUAAGUUCCGACCUGCACGAAUGGCGUAACGAUGGCGGCGCUGUCUCCACCCGAGACUCAGUGAAAUUGAAAUCGCUGUGAAGAUGCAGUGUAUCCGCGGCUAGACGGAAAGACCCCGUGAACCUUUACUGUAGCUUUGCACUGGACUUUGAGCCUGCUUGUGUAGGAUAGGUGGGAGGCUUUGAAGCGUGGACGCCAGUUCGCGUGGAGCCAUCCUUGAAAUACCACCCUGGCAUGCUUGAGGUUCUAACUCUGGUCCGUAAUCCGGAUCGAGGACAGUGUAUGGUGGGCAGUUUGACUGGGGCGGUCUCCUCCUAAAGAGUAACGGAGGAGUACGAAGGUGCGCUCAGACCGGUCGGAAAUCGGUCGCAGAGUAUAAAGGCAAAAGCGCGCUUGACUGCGAGACAGACACGUCGAGCAGGUACGAAAGUAGGUCUUAGUGAUCCGGUGGUUCUGUAUGGAAGGGCCAUCGCUCAACGGAUAAAAGGUACUCCGGGGAUAACAGGCUGAUACCGCCCAAGAGUUCAUAUCGACGGCGGUGUUUGGCACCUCGAUGUCGGCUCAUCACAUCCUGGGGCUGAAGCCGGUCCCAAGGGUAUGGCUGUUCGCCAUUUAAAGUGGUACGCGAGCUGGGUUUAGAACGUCGUGAGACAGUUCGGUCCCUAUCUGCCGUGGACGUUUGAGAUUUGAGAGGGGCUGCUCCUAGUACGAGAGGACCGGAGUGGACGAACCUCUGGUGUUCCGGUUGUCACGCCAGUGGCAUUGCCGGGUAGCUAUGUUCGGAAAAGAUAACCGCUGAAAGCAUCUAAGCGGGAAACUUGCCUCAAGAUGAGAUCUCACUGGGAACUUGAUUCCCCUGAAGGGCCGUCGAAGACUACGACGUUGAUAGGCUGGGUGUGUAAGCGUUGUGAGGCGUUGAGCUAACCAGUACUAAUUGCCCGUGAGGCUUGACC
rnacentral:rRNA from 1 species